rnacentral:rRNA from 1 species
UACGAAGGGGGCUAGCGUUGUUCGGAUUUACUGGGCGUAAAGCGCACGUAGGCGGAUUGUUAAGUUAGAGGUGAAAUCCCGGAGCUCAACUCCGGAACUGCCUUUAAUACUGGCGAUCUUGAGUCCGGGAGAGGUGAGUGGAACUGCGAGUGUAGAGGUGAAAUUCGUAGAUAUUCGCAAGAACACCAGUGGCGAAGGCGGCUCACUGGCCCGGUACUGACGCUGAGGUGCGAAAGCGUGGGGAGCAAACAGG